AGCCCGAAUUUGAACCUGGAUCUCUCUUUAUCUGCAAAGGUUACACUGCUGAGCACAUUCUAUCUCUCUAUGAGUUGGUACUCUCUUCAAAAUAUCCCUGUCAGUCAGACAUAGUGGUGCAUGCCUGUAUUCCCAGUUAUUCAAGGGGCUGAAGCAGGAGAGUCACUUGGGCCCAGGAAUUCAAGGCUGCAGCAAGCUAUGAUUGUGCCCAUGAAUAGCCAUUGCACUCUAGCCUGAGCAACAUAGCAAGAUGCCAUCUUUAUUUUUACUUUAAAAAUAAAAAUAAGUUUAAAAAUAAAGAAAUAAAAGAAGACCCUUUUCCAUUCUGUAGCUCAUACCCUAAGUCAUAUCUACCAGACUGCUGUGAUACUCACUAAACCAUGCCAACUGCUCUCUCCCCCAAGCUAAAGAGGCCCUGAGCACCAGCCUCAGGAUGUGCCAAGAAAGAAGCUAUCCAUAAGGACAGAGGGAAGCCCCAAAGAGGGCUCAUCAGAGAAAGUCAUGGGGAAGAAGAGCUGUGAAGCCAUCUUAUCUCCUUCCAUCAAAAGCCCCUGUUCUGGCUGGGUGCGGUGGCUCACGCCUGUAAUCCCAGCACUUUGGGAGGCUGAGGCAGGCAGAUCACGAGGUCAGGAGAUCAAGACCAUCCUGGCUAACAUGGUGAAACCCCGCUAACACGGUGAAACCCUGUCUCUACUAAAA
rnacentral:lncRNA from 10 species